rnacentral:rRNA from 1 species
CACGUAGGCACCAAGCGUUGUCCGGAUUUAUUGGGCGUAAAGAGCUCGUAGGCGGUUCGAUAAGUCGGGUGUGAAAACUUUGGGCUUAACCCAAAGCGUGCAUUCGAUACUGUUGUGACUAGAGUUCGGUAGGGGAGUGGGGAAUUCCUAGUGUAGCGGUGAAAUGCGCAGAUAUUAGGAGGAACACCGGUGGCGAAGGCGCCACUCUGGGCCGAAACUGACGCUGAGGAGCGAGAGCGUGGGUAGCAAACAGG